GCUGGCGGCGUGCUUAACACAUGCAAGUCGAACGGAAAGGCCCUUCGGGGUACUCGAGUGGCGAACGGGUGAGUAACACGUGGGUGAUCUGCCCUGCACUUUGGGAUAAGCCUGGGAAACUGGGUCUAAUACCGAAUACACCCUUCUGGCUGCAUGGUCUGGGAGGGGAAAGCUUUUGCGGUGUGGGAUGGGCCCGCGGCCUAUCAGCUUGUUGGUGAGGUUACGGCUCACCAAGGCGACGACGGGUAGCCGGCCUGAGAGGGUGACCGGCCACACUGGGACUGAGAUACGGCCCAGACUCCUACGGGAGGCAGCAGUGGGGAAUAUUGCACAAUGGGCGCAAGCCUGAUGCAGCGACGCCGCGUGAGGGAUGACGGCCUUCGGGUUGUAAACCUCUUUCGCCAGGGACGAAGCGCAAGUGACGGUACCUGGAGAAGAAGGACCGGCCAACUACGUGCCAGCAGCCGCGGUAAUACGUAGGGUCCGAGCGUUGUCCGGAAUUACUGGGCGUAAAGAGCUCGUAGGUGGUUUGUCGCGUUGUCCGUGAAAACUCACAGCUCAACUGUGGGCGUGCGGGCGAUACGGGCAGACUAGAGUACUGCAGGGGAGACUGGAAUUCCUGGUGUAGCGGUGGAAUGCGCAGAUAUCAGGAGGAACACCGGUGGCGAAGGCGGGUCUCUGGGCAGUAACUGACGCUGAGGAGCGAAAGCGUGGGGAGCGAACAGGAUUAGAUACCCUGGUAGUCCACGCCGUAAACGGUGGGUACUAGGUGUGGGUUUCCUUCCUUGGGAUCCGUGCCGUAGCUAACGCAUUAAGUACCCCGCCUGGGGAGUACGGCCGCAAGGCUAAAACUCAAAGAAAUUGACGGGGGCCCGCACAAGCGGCGGAGCAUGUGGAUUAAUUCGAUGCAACGCGAAGAACCUUACCUGGGUUUGACAUGCAC
rnacentral:rRNA from 1 species